CUCCCAUGCCUCCCCCCCUCUGUCAGUCCCUACAUUGGCUUCUAGUUACAAAUAGGGCUCAAUUUAAGAUUCUGGUGCUUGCUUACAAGUCUCUACAUAAUGCUGCUCCAACCUACCCAUCCUCCCUAAUACACAAGUAUGUCCCGUUGAGGCCCCUGCGCUCUGCCAAAGACCGAUGUCUGUCAUCUGUCCGUACUCCCACAUCUGAUGUU
rnacentral:lncRNA from 1 species